rnacentral:lncRNA from 1 species
AUGAAGAAAAGUUUUAUGUGGUUUACAGAAAAUGUAUGAUCAUGUAUGGGAUUUCACAGGUAUACAGACAGGAUAGCAGGCUUACUACGGGUCCCGGCGACCUUAAGUCGAUCUGGAUCCUAGUGCCGGUGGCAGUUCGGUUUCCGGGCUGUUACAGAUUGGUAUCAGAGCCCUAGGUUCACAUGGUCGGACCUAUAGAGAGAGAGUUGGGCUCAUAGAGAGGUU